GAAAAAUGCAACUCGAAGAAGAGGAGUUUGAUGUGUUCAAUCUCUUAGAAGAUGUAGUUGACUUUUACCAUCCUGUGGCUGCGAAGAAAGGUGUAGAUCUGGUGUUGGACCCUUGUAACGGUUCUGUAGUGGGAUAUUCACGGGUGAAAGGUGAUAGGGGAAAACUAAAACAAGUUCUGAGUAAUUUACUGAGCAAUGCUGUGAAAUUUACCGAUGAGGGACAUAUAGCGGUACGCGCAUGGACUCGGAAGCCAAAACUACUGCAGAACUCCACAGUCACUUUUAGCAAAUUUGGUUUCAAGCAAUAUUUAUCAUGCUUAUUUCGUAACAAAACCGAACCACGUAGUGACGUGGAAUCCACGCGUUCAAUCCAAGAAGAUCCUCAUUCUAUGGAUUUUAUAUUUGAAGUGGAUGACACGGGAAAAGGAAUUCCUAAAGAGAAAUACAAGUCUGUUUUUGAGAAUUACGUCCAAAUCAAAGAUACUGCUCUUGGCCAAGGGGGAACUGGUUUGGGACUCGGGAUUGUUCAGUCGCUGGUGCGUUUGAUGCAUGGAGAUAUUGAAAUUGUGGAGAAGGAUACUGGUGAAAGAGGGACAUGCUUCAAGUUCAAUGUGGUUCUCAGUGUAUGUGAGAAUGAGGGAGUGUCAGAUGGUAGCAGAAGGGAGGGUGUUGGUUGUGGAUCAGGAGACAGAAUAAUAGAAUGUGAGGAGCAGCAGACUGUGCAGGCUUCGUGUUCUGGUUCUUCUAGAAUUUGUUCCAUGAGUCCUAAGUUACGAAUGUGCAGCUCUAGUCCAAAGCCUGAGGCUUCCCUUGUGGUUCUUUUGAUUGUUGACGAAGAGCGCCAAAGGACUUCACGAAGGUUCAUGGAGAGGUUAGGGAUCAAAGUGAAAGUUGUGAAUACAGGGAAAGGUUUGUUUUAUACUCUGAGGAAGAUCAACCUGAAGGCUAAGCAUUCUAGUGGCCAAAAUUCUCCAGGUUCUUCGGAUUUGAGUCAUUGGUCUACACCUCACAGUUCUCUCGACAUAGCCACAAGAGUUUCUUUGAGUUCUAUGGAUGGAACUGAGCAUAUGCCUUUAGUUUUCAAGAAAACUGAUGUAGGAGCUUCUCCCGGCUUCAUCCUUGUUGUGAUUGAUGCAAAUGCAGGACCGUUUUCUGAGCUUUACACGAUUGUGUCCAACUUCAAGAAAGACCUUCGCAACCCGUGUAAGGUUGUGUGGUUGGAUAAGCCCUUUAUGCGUAGAAUCAACUUGAAGGCCCUUGGUCAAGAUGACAUCGUCACAUCCAAACCAUUUCAUGGUACUCGUUUGUUCCAAACCAUAAAGCUCCUUCCUGAAUUUGGAGGUUCUUGGCAAAGCAAUUCUAGUAGAGCUAAGAGGGAAAUGGCCAAUGAGAGAGCUACAUUGAACACUUGCAAGGAUCCAGGUUUGUCAAAAUACACGUCUCCUCUGCUGGACAGAUCACACGUCAGUUCUUCAACUGACGAAAGUACAUUCCAAACUGGUGAACAAAUUUUGAAGGGAA
rnacentral:sRNA from 1 species